UGCACUCACUACUGUAAGUCGCUCUGGAUAAGAGCGUCUGCUUAAUUAUGUAAA
rfam:Salmo salar isolate Sally breed double haploid chromosome ssa23, whole genome shotgun sequence.